GUUGUGGCUCAGUGGUAGCGCACUUGCCUAGCAUGCAUGGGGUACUCGGUUCAAUCCUCAGCACACA
rnacentral:tRNA from 1 species